GCGAGGGUAGCCAAGCUUGGUCAAAGGCGCGGGAUUCAAGAUCCCGUCUCUAGAAGUUCGCGGGUUCAAAUCCCUCCCCUCGCACCA
rnacentral:tRNA from 1 species